rnacentral:rRNA from 1 species
CAGUCGCCGCGGUAAUACGAAGGGUGCAAGCGUUACUCGGAAUUACUGGGCGUAAAGCGUGCGUAGGUGGUGGUUUAAGUCCGUUGUGAAAGCCCUGGGCUCAACCUGGGAAUUGCAGUGGAUACUGGGUCACUAGAGUGUGGUAGAGGAUAGUGGAAUUUCCGGUGUAGCAGUGAAAUGCGUAGAGAUCGGAAGGAACAUCUGUGGCGAAGGCGACUAUCUGGGCCAACACUGACACUGAGGCACGAAAGCGUGGGGAGCAAACAGGAUUAGAUACCCCCGUAGUCCCUGUAUCUUAUAC